rnacentral:rRNA from 1 species
CCUACGGGAGGCUGCAGUGGGGAAUAUUGGACAAUGGGCGAAAGCCUGAUCCAGCCAUGCCGCGUGUGUGAAGAAGGCCUUCGGGUUGUAAAGCACUUUCAGUGGGGAAGAAAGCCUUGGGGCUAAUACCCUCGAGGAAGGACAUCACCCACAGAAGAAGCACCGGCUAACUCCGUGCCAGCAGCCGCGGUAAUACGGAGGGUGCUAGCGUUAAUCGGAAUUACUGGGCGUAAAGCGCGCGUAGGCGGUCUGAUAAGCCGGUUGUGAAAGCCCCGGGCUCAACCUGGGAACGGCAUCCGGAACUGUCAGGCUAGAGUGCAGGAGAGGAAGGUAGAAUUCCCGGUGUAGCGGUGAAAUGCGUAGAGAUCGGGAGGAAUACCAGUGGCGAAGGCGGCCUUCUGGACUGACACUGACGCUGAGGUGCGAAAGCGUGGGUAGCAAACAGGAUUAGAUACCCGAGUAGUC